GGAAUUCCAGGAGAGAGGAAGAGGGUAGAACCUAAUGUGAAUGCAAGAAUCUGCCAAGAAAACCAGUGGCCAAGAUGAUUCAUGAGUGCAGGACCUGAGAGAACCACCUUGAAUGACAACCUUAGGUUUAAAAGAUGGCCUUUGCUUUUGAAGGAGAAAAUCUGAAAGCAGGAAGGAAGGAAAGAAGCCCCCUGACUGCUUCCUGAGCCCCAGACAGCCCAUGAACUGCCUUCCUGGGAAUGGCGGGACAGGGUGGACUCUGGAUUGCUCCCUCUGGAUGUGUGGAACUCCAGGAACUCCUGGUGCCGCCUGGGCCGAUGGAUUGGAC